GUAGUCAGAUGUGAAUACCUUGGCUUAACCAAGGAAGGGCAUUUGAAACUGCUUGGCUUGAGUACGGGAGGGGGAAGCGGAAUUCCCGGUGUAGAGGUGAAAUUCGUAGAUAUCGGGAGGAACACCGGUGGCGAAGGCGGCUUUCUGGACCGAUACUGACGCUGAGACGCGAAAGCGUGGGGAGCAAACAGGAUUAGAUACCCUGGUAGUCCACGCCUUAAACGUUGGGCACUAGGUGUUGUGGGUAUUGACCCCUGCAGUGCCAAGGGCGAAUUCCACAGUGGAUA
rnacentral:rRNA from 1 species